UGAGCAAUCUGCCUAGAUGUGGGGGAUAGCCGGCCCAACGGCCGGGUAAUACCGCAUACGCUCCCCUGGUGGCAUCACCGGGUGAGGAAACUUUCGAGGCGUCCAGAGGAGCUCGCGGCCUAUCAGCUAGUUGGUGAGGUAAUGGCCCACCAAGGCUUUGACGGGUAGCUGGUCUGAGAGUAUGGCCAGCCACAUUGGGACUGAGAUACGGCCCAGACUCCGUAGGAGG
rnacentral:rRNA from 1 species